rnacentral:rRNA from 1 species
UACGUAGGGUGCGAGCGUUGUUCGGAAUUACUGGGCGUAAAGCGCACGUAGGCGGACCGGAAAGUCAGAGGUGAAAUCCCAGGGCUCAACCUUGGAACUGCCUUUGAAACUCCUGGUCUUGAGGUCGAGAGAGGUGAGUGGAAUUCCGAGUGUAGAGGUGAAAUUCGUAGAUAUCAGGAGGAACACCGGAGGCGAAAGCGGCUAUCUGGCGCACACCUGACGCUGAGGCACGAAAGCUAGGGGAGCAAACAGG